AUCAAAGGAUUUGAAAGAAUUGGCCCUUGAAGCAAGUUUGAUCGAAGGUCAAGAAUAUGAAGAUUCUUUCCUGGGAAUUGUUCCAAAGUGGUCAGAAAAUUGUAAGAAAGGUACAACUCGAGCAAGCUUUCCCACCCUUCUGCUUCCCGUUUGGAAAUUCCACCAUAAAUCUUGUUAUUGGAAAGAUCUAAAAUCUCCAAAUUUGAUGUUCGAAAGAAACUUGGGAAUUGUGUUAUGCUACAAGAAGAGAAUGACACAUUACAAAGCUGAGGGAAGGAAUAGUUAACAUCAUUUUCGCUUGCGCUUAAUGAUAGUAAACUAUUAUUUGAAAGAACAAGAUGGGUAAGAUUUUUGAGUUUUGCAAGCAUAUUUGACUUGAUGACACCACUCAAGUUGUUUGAGGAAAGAUCAAGCCUUUCAAGGCUCACAAGAUCAAAAAAAGAAUUGGGUAUUGAUCCAUGAAUGUCAUUAGAACUCAAAUAAAUAUGUUUUAGAGAAUUAGGCUUCUGAAUUUGGUUGAUUGAGCCGGUGAGUUUGUUAUGGCUGAGUCCUAAAUAUUUCAAAGAUGGCAAAGUAAACAGCCAAGAUGGUAGUCCACCACUUAUAAGGUUACCGGAUAAGAGAAUUUCUUCUAGCAAUCGAAGCUCACUAACAUGAUUUGGCAGGGGACCUUCUAAUCGAUUAUGUGACAAAUCUAGUUGGGUGAGUUGUGUGAGAUUGAACAUAGUUGUUGGAAGUUGACCACUAAAAUUGCAGCAAGAAAAUGACAAAAAAGUCAAUUUAUUAAGGUUUCCAAAAGCAUCUGGAAUCUGUCCUCCAAAAUCAUUUUCAGAAAAAUCUAAGUGGAUGAUUUGACUGAGAUUUCCAAUUGAUGCAGGAAUUGACCCUCUAAAACUGCAAAAGGAAAGGUCCAACAACUUAAGGCCACUACUCAAGUUUGACUUAGGGAAAUAAUCUGUAAGAUUUCUGUUACUACUUAAAUCCAUGUGCUGGAGGUAUGGGAGGCGAAAAAUUUCACUUGGAAAUUCCCCAUGCAGUUCACACGCUCCGAGACUCAAACGUUCCAGAGAUGAAGUCAAGUUCAAAAAGGAAGGAAGUGCAACAUCAGACAUAUCUACAGAGUCAAGGAUAAGGUUUCUUAAUUCAGUUAAGUUGCAUGCAAGCAUGUCAAAACCUUGACUAUCAAAUCUCAAAUCGUGAUAACCAUUAUUGGAAAGAUCGAGUGAAACCAAUUUUGACAGGAGACUGAUAUCAUAUGGGAUUAAGUCAGAGAAUGAAUUAUGGGAGAGAUUAAGAUGGGUCAAACUCACUAAUUGAUUAAAUAACUCUGAUGAGAUAGAGCCAUUGAAAUCGUUGAAAGCAAGGUUGAGUUGUUGGAGUCCUUGACGGUGGAAGAGGCUGCUGUUUUCAAGAAAAGAGCCAUGAAGGUUGUUGGAACUAAGAUCGAGCCAUUGAAGUCUUUGAAGGUGAAAGAGGCUGCUGUUCGCAGGGAGAGUGCCGUUAAGGCAACUGUUACUAAGGUCGAUGCCAAUGACAUGACCCGUCACCAUGUGGCAACUGACUCCAUCCCAUGAACAGCAAUCCGUGCUUUCAUUCCAAGAAUUUGUUGUAGGGUAAGAAGAAGGCACCGAACAAUCAUCUAGAGAAAUGGUGUUUUUCAAUUCAAGCAAGGCAGCUCUCUGCUCUGGGAGGCACAAAUGAGCUGAAUGAAGAAAAGAGGAAGGGGAACUCAAUGAACAAUAGACCUGGAAAUGCAAGAAUGCUAAAAGCAAGCAAAGGAUUCGAUACAACAUGCUAACCACCUUUCCCAUAUUUUCUCGAGGAAAAGGAAGUUAUGAAACAAGGGUAGUCGAAAAGGGCAAGCUAGGGAGGUGAAACUGAAAAUGAGUUGGGGUUGAGGUCAAGGGACAUUAUAAAUGAAGUACCUGAGAAGUGGAGACAUCUCCUUUUCAAGUCAACCAACAGGUCUUUGCAAUAUCUCUUAAAUUGUCAAAAUUAAAUUAAUGGGAUAAAAAGGAAAAGUGAUUGUGCCCUGUUAGAAUGAAAAAGCAUUAAGGACGCUGUAUCCUAUCCCAUCUGAGACAUUAGUAGGAUUUGCAUAUUUUUCUUGAUUUCUCAUUUGAUGUCUACUUUUAUUUUAUGCUUGUUGGGAUAGGCUUAUUAGAUCCAAAUCUUGCCAGAGACACAAAACUAAUUCCUCUUAGAAUUGCAACUCAUUACUUUUUAACUCACUUGAUGUGAUAAUAAAAAUUAAAAAUUAUUAAAUAAAAGAAUUUUUUAUUGUAGAUUACAGCUAAUUCACGUUUUCAUCAAAGAAAUUAUAAAGAUUUUCAUAUUUUGGGAUCAUCAUCAGAAAUUAAAGAUAACUUUUUUUAUUUUUUUUCAGAAAAAAAAAGAGAGAUAGGUCAAAAGGAAGAAUUCAUGUCAAAAAGCAAACCGUGUGUGAGGAUAUGGCACUCAACAAUGUUAAAGGAAAAGCUUCGAGAUAGUAGAAGGAGAGGAAUCAGGAAAUUGCUGAAAAAGUGUAUAAGCAUGUUUUUCCCAUCCUUCCAUUGCAUUUUCAAGUUAAAAGAACCUACUUAAAGUUAGAGUAGCAUUAUUUUUUCUUAUAUUUUUGUUUUUACGUGUUUAACUCACCUGAUAAAAAAUUAAAUAAUUUAAAAAUAAAUUUUAUCAAUUUAUGAUAAAUCAAUUUAUUCAUAAAUACAAUGUUCAAAAUUGAAUCAAUUUACGAACUCAACAGUCAAAAAGAUUGUCUUUGUUUAUAUUUUCAUGCUUUACACACAGUCAGUCUUCGGUAACUUUCCCAGCAAUUAUUGAUUACUUCAAGUAUGGGAUAUCCUUUUGCCUUUUGUUCUUUAUUAAUUUCUUUAUUCUAUACAGGAUGGAGAACCUGUAUAGAAUUGCUAAAGACUUCUGUUGGCAUAUAAUUCUAAAUCGUGCAUCAUCAUGACCUAUGAGGUCUCCUCAUGAAAAUCCUUACAAUUGAUAAUAUUAUAGCAGCAUAUAUGAAACCAUGGAGGACCAAUUAGGAAUUAAUGGAAAAGUGAUGACAGCACUAAAUAAUUUUAUAAUUCUAUGAUAAGGUUGUUAAAUGUAUCUUUUAUCAAAUUUGAAGUUACUUUUAAAAAGAAAUGUAAAAUGGGCGAGUAAUGUCUUGUCAGAUAGGAAAGCAUCAACCAUGUUGUCUAGUUCACAUCUUAGAAAAGCCUUUUUUUUUUUUUUCUGGGGAUGUGCAAUGCAACUGUUCCUUUCGAGAAUAAGGUAUGAACUACUUACUGUUCCAUAACUGGUAUUCUGUUUUUUUUUCUUCUGGCUGUUCCAAAAAGGUGCCUAUUGCUUGAAAUUACUGUCGAGCAUACUUUAGAAUACCAAUUGAGGGAAAAAUUAGUCAGAACUUCAUUUUGCAAUGCUUUGCAAUUGCUCCUGCAUGUAUCAGAUCAUAGUUAACACCAUCUUGAUUUGUGUUUCUUUCCAGCUACAAUACUUUAGAAUGCAACGAUCGAAGUCAAUUAUUACUAAUAACUGAAGCUUGAGCUUUUCGUGUGAUUUAGACAUAAAAAGUUAUCAGAUCAAUGCUUAGACUUAGAUUAUUAUAAAUCGUAUCAAAUGUGUCAAUCCGAUAUAAACUUUCACAUUACGCUGGUGAAAUCUUAAUCCUGUGAAAUAAGCAUUGACUGUGAUUAUAAUGUGUGCCACAUUUACUGUGAAUGUAAUUUGUAAUUGUUAAGACUUUCAAGUCAAUCAUUAUUAACAACUUGAACUUACGAGCCACGUGGUUUAAACUUAAAAUUUACUAAUAACUUGAAAUUUAAAAUUUUAAAAGUCAUAUGGUUUAUACUUAAAAAUUCACUGAACCCACAUCUAAUUUAGAUUUGAAAACUAAUAACAACUUAAGUAUGAGUUUUUGAAGAUCACAUGAUUUAAACAUGAAAAAUUAUUAAAUCCACAUCUUGUGUAAAUUUGAUUAUUAAGACUUAUAUAAUUAUCCAAAUCAACCACUACUGACAACUUGAACUUGCCUAAAAUGUUACUGAACUCGUGCUUAUACAUCCAUUAGAACAAAGUUAAAUCUUAAAAUUAUCAUUCAUCGACAAAAAAUCAAGUCAUAUUUCUUUAUCAAAUUAAGCUGUUUUUUUUUUUCCAAUUUAUUGUCUGUGUGAAAAUAAACGGAGGCAUGAUUAGUACUAUCAUUCUUUCCACAACUUACAUUUCAUGGCACCUUAAUUUGCAGUCACAGAGGAAACGAACAGAGGUGGAGGCCAAGAAAUGAAAUAUGGAACAAAGAAUGAACUUUCUAUGUAAAAUUAUAUUCAAUUAAAAACGCGAUUCAACACUGACAGUUGACCCGAGUCUCCGUUCAACAAAAAAACAUCCAGAGGAACAUAAGGAGAGUCCAAUGAUGAUCCAAACCGGUAAGUUGGCUGUAAUAAUCUGCAACCUUUAGCACACUGGAUGGUUAGGAGACGUGGUCCGGUUCUCAUCUGCCAGACCUGUGCAUGAUGUGGUCAAGUAAACAUUGACUGGAAUAUAAUGCUAAACGUUUUCUCUACUAAAUGAAGUUCGAAGGGCUGCAUAAAGAAAACCAUCUGGGAAAGAUAGUUUCCACUCUCCAAUGACACAACUCAAUCUAGAACAGCAAAGCCAUAAAUCUAUCAAAUGUAUCUCUGAUAGAGGAAAAUUAAGUUACAUUGAAUCCACUCAUGAAAGCAUCAACGAAGAUGUUUUCUUUAUGGAGUGAACAUAGUUUCGAGUAAUCUGUCAAUCCGUUUGCACAAUUAUUUCCACACAAUUAAAGUAAUACAUCAAUUCAUUUCCACAAUUAUUUCACUAUAUUUUCGUACUAUUCAAUCCCAACUAUCUAUAGUGUAAGGGUCCGCUUGUAUGUAGCCCUAUGCACCCCAUAAGCCUGGAUGGCUAGAUGAUAUGGACCCACUGCCAAAAUGGUAAUGCAUUGUUGUCAUUGUGAUGAUAAAUCCUACUGACUAUUCCUGCUCUUACCAUCAUGGCCAUAAUAUAAAAAUAGAUUUUCAAAGUCCUAACAACAAGCACAACAAUAAAGAAAUAAUAAGAAAUACUUCGAAGAAACAUGAACACACCUCAACAAUUCCUUUUCGAGGUGCAUGAAUGGCUAAACAGAGGCAGUAGUCACUCUUUCCUGGUUCAUAGUAAGAGGAACCUGACCCUAUAGCCUCCUUAUUGACUAACAUUUCCAUGAAGAAGCAGUUUGCAUCACGAUAUCCCUGAAGAGUGUAUUAGGAAAACUGCUUACCGAAAAGGAUAAAAGAGCGGUUGCUUUUCAAGAAAUUGAAAACCAUAGAUGCAGAAGAAACCUUCCAUAGUCGCACUACUACAAGUGCCUGAGUAUCUAAGAGCAAUAUACGACCAAGUGAAUCUGUAAUAGCAGCCAAAGUGCAACUGGGUGAUAAGGUGAGCUUUUCACCUUUUCUUGGGUGAUCCUUCAAACAUGUCAAAGGAGAAGCUUGCAAAAGAUCAUGACAUCAAUAACACAUUCAACAGGUUUUGGCAAAGCCUUAAUAAAGAGAAAUAUGAAAGUGGCUAAGGUUUGUAUGCUAACUAAGCGUGUUAACAUGCAGAACACAUCAAAAGACACAACGAACUUGUAACAUUCUUUGUGUCAGAAUAUGAUAGAAACAUUAAAGUUCUUUCUUAAAUAAUUAAUACUCUCUCUAUCCCCUUAAAUAUUUAAUUGCACAUCAGAACACACUAAGAUGAACUCUUUUGGUGUAAGCCCAUAGUUGAACAGCAAAAAUAAGCAUGUGGCAAGGAUGACAAUAAAAGAUUACAAAAUGGAUUACUAAAUACAAUAAGCAGAGAAACAUGCGAGCAGAGGUUACAUGCUUAAUAAUGAGAUUGUUGCCACAAAUCUUGUGAUAGUACCAAAGGAAAAAUGAGAACUAAAGAUCAGUUAAAUGAUCUCGGCAACAGCAAACACUCCUGACCAAUGUAAAUCAGCUUCAAUCACCUAAAAAUUUGAAUCUAAGGAAAUAUUUCUUUCAGAACAAUUAUAAGUAUACAUGAAUUUUGAGACAAGCACAUAUUUUUAGAGAUUCACACUACAUAAUUUAAGUACCAUGGAGAAGAAAAUAGCAGAACCAAAUGAGGAACAAUAUACAAGUUUAACAAACUUCACCUCGAGCAAAUGAUUGAGGCUUCUCUUCUGACUUCCUCUUUGGCGUUUGUUCACUCCGCCAUAUCAUUUUAGAAAAAGCAAUUGUGGAAAAUGUUGCAGGCACAACUUUGACAAAAUAGCUCCUACCAAGGAACGGUUCCUAUCUUCUGAAAGUCUUCAACAUAAUUAAACAAAAGUUUAUCAAUAAAGCACCAAAAGAAAAGAAAAAAAGAAGCUACCCAUGAAAGAAUCCCUUCUUGUAAUGAAAGAUAAAUCAUACUAUAUUUCGAAAUGGGAAGAAACUAACCUGAAAGCUUAGAUCACAGCAUCAUCUCCAAUGGUGACUGCACAAUAGUAACGUUGAUUUGACUGCACAACAAUAAAAGCAGCUGAAUUCAAAUACCAGAAUAACUUCAGAAAGCUUCCAUAAUUCAUUGACGAAACAAACAAAAGCAUAAAUAAAAUGUCUUAUAAUGAGUUACCUGUCUAUGAAUCAAAUCACCACGCAAAGAGUAAACCAAGAUGAACCCUCGAGAGGUCCCAACUGCAAUCACUUUAAUCUCAUCAAAAACCAGCCACUCUAUGGCCGUGAUGUGCUGGGCCUCGAUAGGUGACAGUUCGGACGGAUCUGGACCCGAGGCUCAUCCGGGUCGGACCAUCCGAGGAUGAGAAUAAGUGAUCGGUUAGCAAUGGCGAGAGAAUGGGCGUCGAGAGCACAGAGGAGAGUGGUGCUGGCGUCAGGGGCUAGCCAUCCUUCCUUGCCAACGCCAAACUCGGACAAGUCUUCGCUGGCGAUGCAGCCGAGAACCGUCAAGUGUGAAGAAAAUUCAGAAAAUCAAUUAAAAAAAUUAAAAUUAAUGUUAAAGCAUUGGAACAUUUUUAAUUAAAAUCUUUUAAGUUACAACAUUUUUCGAUACAAACUUUAGAUAAAAGGGAUGAAAGCUGAACAUGAAAACCAAAUUAUCCACUACAACACCCAGAAUUGUUUAAACCGCUGUCAUGAGAAAUGAUUGAGCCAGAUGUUAGAGAAGCAGGCUGCAUUCGAUUCAGUUCCAAAGUCACCCUGACAAGUACAGAAAAAUAAAGGAAGAAUCAAUUGUUUAAAUCUAUGUGCUGGAGGUAUGGAAGGCAAAAAACUUCACUUGGAAAUUCCCCAUGUAGUUGACAAUCUCUGAGACUCAAACGUUCCAGAGAUGAAGUCAAGUUCAGAAAGGAAGGAAGUGCAACAUCAGACAUAUCUGCAAAGUUAAAGGUAAGGUUUCUUAAAUUGGUUAAGUUUUGUGCAAGCAUGUUAAAACCUUGGCUAUCAAAUCUCAAGCUGGAAAUAUAAGCAGUCGUGGAAAGAUCGAGUGAAACCAAUUUUGAUAGGAGACUAAUUUCAUAGGGGAUUAAGCCAGAGAAUGAAUUAGAAGAGAGAUUAAGAUGAGUCAAACUCACUAACUGAUUAAAUAACUUCGAUGAGAUAGAGCCAUUGAAAUUGUUGUGAGCAAGGUUGAGUCGUUGGAGUCCCUGAAGGUGGAAGAGGCUGCUGUUUUCAAGAAGAAAGCCAUCAAGUUUGUUGAAAUUGAGGUCGAGUCGUUGGAGUCCUUGAAGGAAGAAGAGACUACUAUUACCAUGGAGAGUGCCAUAAAGGCAGCUGGCACUGAAGUUGAUGCCAAUGACAUGACCAGUCACCACGUGGUCAAUGAAGCUGAAUCAAGAAAAGAGGAAGGGGUACUCAAUGAAAAAGAGACCUGAAAAUGCAAGAGAAGGAUUUGGAAUAACAACCUAAAUACCCUUCCCAUAUUUUCUCGAGAAAAAGAAAGUAUGAAACAAGGGUCGUCGAAAAGGGGCAAGAAAGGGAGGAGAACUUAAAAAUGAAUUGUUGUUGAGGCUGAGGGACAUGAGAAGUGAACUACGUAUUGGAGAAGUGGGGACAUGAAAGUGUUAGAAUGAAAAGCAUAAUCUUAUCCCAUUAGAGACUUUAGUAGGAUUUGCAUACUUUUCUUGCAUUCUCAUUCGAUAUGUUUAUUUUAGACUUAUUGGGAUAUGCUAAUUAGACCCAAAUUUCAUUAUUGGGAUAAGCUUAGAAUUGCAACUCAUUACAGCCUGCGUUAUUGUUUAUGUCAGCGUGAUUUUCGAUCUUCAAGUUUCAUUUUGUUCAGAAAAUUAAUCCAAAACUUUCUGUUCAAUUUUCCUAGAAGAGAAUGCAGCCUCAAAACUAAAAAAUAAAUAUAUGAAGUUUUUGUUGUAGGUUGCAACAAAGUCAGGUCAUCAGCAAAGCAAGUUUAAGAAAUUGGAAUGACUUUUACAAUUAAAGUCACCAUCUGAGAGAAAUUAAGCUCAAAAGUAAGAAAUUCAUGUCACAUGAAGCAUGUUGACUGUUGUGGUUUUUAUUUGAGGGCAUACAUUCAAAUUCAACCCUCGCAGACAGUCUUCACUCAACAAACUUAAAUUAAUUGUUACAUGGACCCUUAUUUCACGUUAAUCCCUUUUUUUACCUAUGAAAAAAAUAUAUAAUUUUUAAAUAUUUAGUUCAAUAAUAAAUAUAUAAAACGUAUAUAUAUGUCAUUUAUAAAUUUAAUACAUUAUGAUGCAACAUGUAAGUAAAAAUUAUUAUGAAUUCACUAUAUAAAAUAUGAACUCAUGCAUGCUCACAUGACAACUUUUGAUUACUUAUUACAGCAAGCUGAUGCAUGUGAUUAGAACAACCUAUUCAAUAAUUUUGGAUGCUUAUUGAUGAAUGACUCAUGGUGAUGCAAUUAUUAAGCAUUGAAACCAAGAGGAAGAAAUGAAAAGGGCAAUAGUGACAGAAGAUGAAGAGCGGCAAUUCAUAAAGGAAUAUCAAACAAGAUGGGCAAAGUGCCCUGUUAGAAAGGAAAGGCAUGAAGAGUGUUGACUUUGUCUGCUUACAUGUUAAAAUCGUACCAUAAAUUCUUUGUCUGCAUUGACCCUUGACAACCUGAGCAAAGAGUCAUUGAAAAACUUUCGAGAUGGACGAGUGAAGACUACGCCCACUCUUUUGAGAAAAAACUGUCAUUGGAUGACUUUUAAUAGGCCAUUCAAUGUGUGCCCUUCAAUGUAUUUGAGUAUUUAAUUUAAUAAUAAUUAUAUAAACAAGAAACACAGUAAAGAGAGAAAUGUACAGAGCCUAGCGGUGUAAGCAUGAGGUUACUGCAUCAAAUUGAAAAUGGAUGGCCAAGUAUAACACUGUUUGUAUAGGAGUAAAAAAUGUCAACCCCAGCCCCACCCAUUAAAAGUGAGUUAGAAUAACGUUGAUGCUAAUACACCCAAUACUACAUAUACUUUCAUUUAUAAAGUGUAAAAUAUAUAAAUACAACAUUUUGUUAAUAUAAUACAGGCACAAUUAUUUAUUUUUGGAUAAUGGAUGUUGACGUAGAAUAUGAUUUUGAAUUUAAUUCAUAUCUAGAUUUUGAUGGAUUAUUUGAAGAAUAAAAUAAAAUAAAUUGAGAAGCCAUUGAGACUGAAUAUGAUUUGAAUUAUACCUCAACAGUUAUGUCGAAAUGAUUGUGAUUAGUUUUUUCAUUGUUUUUGAGAGAAAGAAAGUUGUUGAAGCAAAGGGAGGUAAGGAGAAUCUCACACAUUUUACUUGGGUGUUUUUGUUUUGAAGGGUGCACACUUUACUUGUUUUGAAACUAUCUUAUAUGUAUGUUUCAUUAAGUGAAUUAAAUGUUUUGUUCUAUUAUUUUUUGUGUAAGAAAAUAGAGUUAAGCAUAUGAUUAUUUUUUAUUUUGAUUUAUUCAUGUGACUAAUAUUGAUUAAUAAUGAGGUAUGAAAUCUUUUGUUAUGUUGUAAAGCGUUAAGAGCUAUGAAUUAAUUCUUAAGAAGUAGGAUAAUCAAUAUUAAAAUUAAUUUUAGGAUCUUGUUAAUGGAUUAUAAUAGUUAACAUACGACCUAAAAACAGAAAAUACGACCUAAAAAUAGUUAAGGCAGCUUUCACUGAGGUCGAUGCCAAUGACAUGACCGGUCACGUUGUGGCAACAGACUCCAUCCCACGACUCCAUCCCAUGAACAACAAUCCGUGCUUUCGUUCCAAGAAUUUAUCCUGGGGUAUGAAGAAAAUGUCUGACAAUCACCUAAAGAAAUGGUGUUUUUGAAUUCCAGCAAGGCACUUCUCUGUUCUGGGAGGCAUAAAUGAGCUGAAUGAAGGGGAAAGUGGAAGGGAAACUCAAUGAACAAUAGACCAGGAAAUGCAAGAACGAUAAAAGCAGGAAAAGGACUCGAUACAACAUCCUAACUACCCUUCCCAUAUUUUCUCAAGAAAGAGAAAGUUAUGUAACAAGGGUCGUCCAAAAGGGGAUAUUUAGAUGAGUUAUGGCUGAGGCCAAGGGACAUAUAAAUAUAACUACUGGACAAGUGGAGACAUCUCUUUUUUCAAGUCAACCAACAAGUUUUUCCAAAAUCUUUUUAGUUGUGUCCCAUUAAUUAAGGCAUUUAAAGUCAAGUCUUCUCAACUUACAUAUUUAUUCAUUGUGUUGAGAAGUUUGAACAGCGAUAGUGUUUGAGCCUGGAAUCAAAACUAAAUUAAUGGUAUAGAAAGAAAAAGUGUUGGUGGCGUGAUAGAAUGGAAGCAUGAAUUGAACCUGCAGAUUGUCAUGAAUUCUCGUUGUAUGUCUACUUUUAUUUUAUCGUUCACUGGAAAGUCUUACUGGGAUCUGCUAAUUAGACUCAAAUUUCAUUGCAAUUCAUUACAGCCAGUUCUUUUAUUUUUCCUUAUAAUUUUACUUUUACUGUUUAACUCAUCUGACGUAGUAUUAUAAUAAACAAAAAGUUAUUGAUUAAGAAAUUCUUUAUGUAGAUUAAAGCUAAUUCAGGCCACCAUCAAAGCAACUUUAAGAAAAUACAAAAUUCGGUUCAUCACCAGAAAGAUAGCUUCUUUUUUCAAUAAAAAAAAACAAUAUUAAAUUACGUUUAUAAGCAUGUUUUUAUCAUCCUUCAAUUACUUUUUCACGUUAAAAGCACCUACUAAAAAUUAGAGUAAUGUUAUUUUUCUUUAUAUUUUUGUUUUUACUAAAAUGAUUAAAAAAUUAAAAUUUUAUUACAUAAUUUAAAAAUAAGAUUUAUUAAUUUAUGAUAAGUCAAUUUAUUCAUAAAUACAAUGUUCAAAAUUAAAUCAAUUUAUAAUAUGUCAAUUGACUAUAUGAAACAAAUGAAAGUAAGAAUUAUACAAAAACAAAAUUGAAUAUUGUUUUGAAAGUAACUCAAAAAUUCAUUUAUGAGGCUGCGAAAAUGGAUCCUCCGCUUUGAAGCGCUGAAGAAAUAUAUAAACAGGAAACACAGUAAAGAGAGAAAUACACAGAGCCUAGUGGUGUAAGUAUGAGAGUAUUGCAUCAAAUUGAAAAUGGAAGGCCAAGUAUAACAGUGUCUGUAUAGGAGUAGAAAAUGUCAACCCCAGCCGCGACCCAUCAAAAGUGAGUUAGAAUAAGGUUGAUGCUAGUACACCCCAAUACAACAUGUACUUUCAUUUAUAAAGCAUAUACUUUCAUUUAUAAAGUGUAAAAUAUAUAAAUACAACAUUUUCUUAAUAUAAAACAAGCACAAUUAUUUAUUUUUUGAUAAUGAAUGUUGACGUAGAACAUGAUUUUGAAUUUAAUUCAUAUUUGGAUUUUUGAUGAAUUAUUUUUAAAAAAUAAAAUAAAAUAAAUUGAGAAGUCGUUAAGACUCAAUGUGGUUUGAAUUAUACCUCAACAGUUAUGUUGAAAUGACUGUGAUCAGUUUUUCUUUUUUUUUUUUGAGAGAAAAAAAGAAGUUGUUGAAACAACGGGAGGUAAGUAGAAUCUCACACCCUUUACUUCCUUUUUUUGGUUUAAAGGCGCACACUUUACUUGUUUUCAAACUAUCUUACAUAUAUGUAUGUUUUUUUUUUCUUUUAUUUGGCUACCCAUCCGUGGAGGAUGGGAGUUUAUAUAUAUGUAUGUUUCAUUAAGUGAAUUAAAAGUUUUUGUUUCAUUAUUUUUUGCAUAAAAAAAAUAGGGUUAAGCAUAUGAUUGUUUUUUUAUUUUGAUUUAUUCAUGUGAUUGAAUAUUGAUUCAUAAUGAGAUAUGAAAUAUUUUGUUAGGUUGUAAAGUUUUAAGAGCUACAUUAAGUCUUGAGAAGUAGGAUAAUCAACACUAAAACUAAUUCUACAACCUUUGUUAAUGGGUUAUAAUAGUUAGCAUAUGACCCAAUAACAGAAUAUAAUAAGCUAGCAAACAAUCCCCCUAGCGGAUUAUAAUAGUUAGCAUAUGAAAUAGAACAUGAUUUUGAAUUUAAUUCCUAUUUGGAUUUUAAUGGAUUAUUUGAAAAAUAAAAUAAAACAAAUUGAGAAGCCAUUAAGACUGUGAGUGCAUACACUUUAUAUAUUAAUCAAAUACUCAAGUGCAAUGUUUAGGAUUUAAAUAAAAAUCUUGCAAAUUACAACAUCUUCAAUACAAAUUCUAAAUUCAUAAAAAAAAAAAAAAACCUUCUUCAAAACAUGUGUUUUCCGAGCCCCAAAAGCUACAGAUAAAAGCUGGUGCUCACAAAUUUGAAAAUGAUCAAAGCUGAACAAGAAAAGCAAAUUUUCCACUAAAAACACCAAGAAUCAUAUUACCCAUUCAGAUACUCAAUGAACACCCGAAUUCUUCAAACCACUGCCAUGGGAAAUGAUUGAGCCAGAUGCUACAGAAGCAGGGUCCAUCGGAUUCGGUUCAAAAGCCACCUUGACAAUUUGGAAAAAAAAAACAAAGGAAAAAUCAAUCGUAGAUUACAAAAGCAAUGAGAAAUUCGCUGUAAUUCUACUUUGGCAAAAAAACUGACCUAUGCAUGAUCUGGAUGUAGUGCUAGUUUCUUCUUCCUCUGUUUCUGCGAAUCCACUUUGUAACAUUGUUUUGCCAAUCUCUCUCAACCAUUCUGAUAAACCACCAUGGUCUUCCUGUUGUGAAUACAAUGUAUCCCAUGCUCAAUCCUAACACCACUCCACAUCCAUAGCCCAUCAUUACAACUUUCCAAAUAAAGGCUAUAUCAGAACCUUCAUCUUCCUUAACCAUUGGUACCAGUGGUUUUGGUUCAGGGUCACCGCAUUGUUUUGACAGUGGGAGGCCACACAAUCCCAAGUUACCACCAUAAGAAUCAUUCUCAAAAGUAUCAAAUUGCUUCCCAUGGGGAAUUGGUCCCACAAGAUCAUUUUGUGAAAGAUUUAAUACUUCGAGGAAUGUCAGAUUCGUCAAUUGAGAAGGAAUUCUGCCACCAAGCCUGUUUGACGAGAGAUCUAAUGAUUAAGUGCUAUCAUAUUUCCAAUAGUUGGUGAGAUAAGACCAGUCAAGUUGUUGUGAGACAAAUUGAGUCCUUGAAGCGAAAUAAGUUCUCCGAAUUCUUCAGGAAUUUGUCCACAGAAUAGAUUAUUCGAAAAGUCCAUAAAUGUGUAAAUGGCAAAGGUUUUCACCAACUCAAUCUCCAAUCUUUUCGUUGUUACAUUCACUGAGUAAUAGUCAUUAAAAGAUAAAGCUACAUCUCUACUUAUGAAUCUCGUGAAUUCCCAAGGUCUCUCUUCAGGUAUAUCUUUCAUUGCUCUCAAAUUUUGGAAGAAUUUUGUUGGCAAGGGACCGUUGAGCUCAUUAUGAGACAGAUCAAUUAUUUGCAGUGCAGAGAAGUUAGAUGAAGCUAUGGAAUUGGGCAUGGGACCAUGCAAUCUAUUAUUUCGUAAAAGAAGAACUUGCAGAUUUGGAAGUGAAGCAAACCAAUGGGGAAAGGUAUCAGUGAACUUGUUGUUCCUUAAAUUCGAAAGUUUCAAGGAACUACAAUUAGCCAAAGACCGUGACAAUAAUCCUUCCAAUUUAUUGUCAUUGAGGAGAAGAAUUUCCAAGUUAUUACCUCUAAAAGAAUCAGGCAUUUUACCGUGAAAAUUAUUCAUCUCCAAAUUCAUUACCAUGAGAGAAGAGCUGAGAUUUCCAAAACAUUCUGGAAUAGUUCCGCUCAAGUUAUUUCUAGACAAGUCAAGAAUCAAAAGUGAACUCCAAUUGCAAAUCAAAAGAGGGAUAUUUCCGGUUAAUUUAUUCUUUGAAACGUAGAAUGCAAUCAAAGAUUGUGGUGGAUUUGGACUUUGAUUAUUCAAGCAAGUUGAUAGAAUUGGACCUUGAAGCAAGUUGGAUCGAAGGUCAAGAACGUCAAGAUUUUUUCCUGGAAAAUGCCCUAAAGUGGUCAAAAAGUUGUAAGAAAGGUUCAAAGAUUUCAAAUUGUCCCACCCUUCUGCUUCCCAUUUGGAAAUUCCACCAUGAAUCUUGUUACUGGAAAGAUCUAAAAUCUUCAAAUUUGAUGUUCGAAAGAAACUUGGGAAUUGUCUUAUGCUACAAGAAGAGAAUGACACUUUAACAAGCUGAGGGAAGGAAUAGUUAAUAUCAUUUUCGCUUGCGCUUAAUGAUAGUAAACUAUUAUUUGAAAGAUCAAGAUCCCUAAGAUAUUUGAGUUUUGCAAGCAUAUUUGACUUGAUGACACCACUCAAGUUGUUUGAGGAAAGAUCAAGCGUUUCAAGGCUCACAAGAUCAAAAAAAGAAUUCGGUAUUGAUCCAUGAAUGUCAUUGGAACUCAAAUCAAUAUAUUCCAGAGAAUUAGGCUUCUGAAUUUGGUCAAUUUGACCGGCAAGUUUGUUAUAGCUAAGAUCUAAAGUUUGCAAAGAUGGUAAAGUAAACAACCAAGAUGGUAGUCCACCACUUACAAGGUUACUAGAUAACCAAAAUGUUUCUAGCAAUUGAAGCUCACUAACAUGAUUUGGUAGGGGACCUUCUAAUCGAUUAAAUGACAAAUCUAGAUGGGUAAGUUGCGUGAGGUUGAACAUGGUUGUUGGAAGUUGACCACUAAAAUUACAGGAAGAAAAUGACAAAAAAGUCAAUUUAUUAAGAUUUUCAAAAAUAUCUGGAAUAUGUCCUCCAAAAUCAUUUUCAGAAAAAUCUAAGUGGAUGAUUUGACUGAGAUUUCCAAUUGAUGCAGGAAUUGACCCUCUAAAACUGCAAAAGGAAAGGUCCAACAACUUAAGGCCACUACUCAAGUUUGACUUGGGGAAAUAACCUGUGACAUUUUCAUUACUACCUAAAUCUAUGUGUUGGAGGUAUGGAAGGGAAAAAACUUCACUUGGAAGUUCUCCAUCUAGUUGACAAUCAUGAAGACUCAAACGUUCUAGAGAUGAAGUCAAGUUCAUAAAGGAGGGAAGUGCAACAUCAGACAUCUCUACAAAGUCAAGGAUAAGGUUUCUUAAUUCAGUUAAGUUGCGUGCAAGCAUGUCAAAACCUUGGCUAUCAAAUCUGAAGUAGCUAUAGAUAUAAUAAGCAUUAUUGGAAAGAUCGAGUGAAACCAAUUUUGAUAGGAGACUUAUUUCAUAUGGGAUUAAGUCAGAGAAUGAAUUAUGGGAGAGAUUAAGAUGGGUCAAACUCACUAACUGAUUAAAUAACUCCGAUGAGAUAGAGCCAUUGAAAUCGUUGUGAGCAAGGUUGAGUCGUUGGAGUUCUUGAAGGUGGGAGAGGCUACUGUUUGCAGGGAGGGUGCCAUAAAGGCAGCUUUCACUAAGGUCGAUGCUAAUGACAUGACCCGUCACCACGUGGCAACUAACUCCACCCCAUGAACAGCAAUCCGUGCUUUCAUUCCAAGAAUUCCUCCAUAGGUAAUAACCACAAUCAUCAUACACAGAAAUAGUGUUUUUGAAUUCAAGCAAGGCAGCUCUCUGUGCUGGGAGGCAUAAGUGAGCUGAAGGAAGAAAAGAGGAUUUGGUACAACAUCCUAAUUACCUUUCCCAUAUUUUCUCGAGACAAAAGGAAAGUAUGAAACAAGGGUCGUCGAAAAAGGGCAAGUUAUGGAGGUGUACUUAAAAAUGAGUUGUGGCUGAGGCAGGCGGAGGGACAUGAAAAUAGAAGAAGCGGUGGACAAGUGGAGACAUCUGUUUUUCAAGUCAAUCAACAAGUCUUUCUCAAAAUAUUUUAAGCUGUUUUCCAUUAAUGCAAUUUGACGUCAAGUCUUCUCAAGUAGAAAAAAUUUAUUGAUUGUGUUGAGAAAUUUCAACAGCCCAAGGGUUAGGGCGUGGAAUCAAAACUAAAUUAAUGGAAUAAAAACGAAAAAGUGUUGGUGCCAUGCUAGCAUGAAUUGAGCGCCGCUGAAUCCUAUCCCAUUUGAUGUCUAUUUUUAUUUUAAGGUCUAAUGCCGUGUUUAUUGAAAGAAAAAGUGUUGACUGGUUCCUAUUGGAGGGCACACUUUGAAACUCAAUCCCCUUCAUAGACUUGUUUUUUCUAAAGAUUGGGCGUAGUCUUUACUCAGUAAAGUUAAUUAAUUAUUACAUGAACCCUUAGCCCACUUUAAUUCCUUUUCUUACGUAUGAAAUAUAUAUAUAUAUAUAUAUAUAAUCUUUGAUUAUCUAAUUCAAUAAUAAAUAUAAAAAAUGUAAAAAAGUACUACUUUGGGAUCAAUCCCAACCAGAGAACAUUAUUCUUCUCUCCCUCGGGGGUCGAUCUGACAAUGCAAUAAAACAUCAUUAUUUUAUCGAAUUAUUUCAAAACAUAGCAUUAUUCAACUAUUCAAUUUUAAUCCAUUUAUUUAUUAUUCUAUUUCUCAACAAACCAUAAUUGUCCAUUUUUAUUCAAUUUUUUCAUAGGGAUUAAAUCACCUAUAAUUAUUUUUACUUAGAUACUAUAGUAUUUAAUAUAAUACCAAAUAAUUAAGAUCCAUUAAAAAAUAUAUAUAUAUAAAAUAAGAAAUAAAUUUUUCACAUAUGAAAAUUUCUCCCUUCUUUUAAUUUUCACUUAACAAACUAAUCAAUAAAACAAUAUGAUAAGAAAUGUGCUCGGAUUCGACCUCAUGCUCAAAUAUGAAAAUAAUUAAUAAAUUAAAAUUAUAACGCAAUGGAAUAAUAAAUUAGUAUUUAAUCAGAAAAACAGUUGAAUCCUACAUGAUUAAUGUUUGUGAUUUUCAUGUAAUUUUCAAAUUAAAUAUAAACAUUUAUAAGUUUAAGAGUUACAUACAUUGCUCUAGAUAUUGUAAUCAAGAGUCAAUUAAAUCAAAGUCUUUGCUUAUUCACUUUUAGGAUUUAUCAAAUCUUUAGCCACUCUAGUGUUUGGCCUCUAAUAGUAAUCCAUACAAUGACCAAAUAAGACCUUCUCAAAGGUAAGAUUUUUACUUGUGCUAGCAAGUUUUGGUUCUAAAACAAAGAGACCAAAAUUCUUGCCGAAUCUUAUUUUUUUNNNNNNNNNNNNNNNNNNNNNNNNNNNNNNNNNNNNNNNNNNNNNNNNNNNNNNNNNNNNNNNNNNNNNNNNNNNNNNNNNNNNNNNNNNNNNNNNNNNNNNNNNNNNNNNNNNNNNNNNNNNNNNNNNNNNNNNNNNNNNNNNNNNNNNNNNNNNNNNNNNNNNNNNNNNNNNNNNNNNNNNNNNNNNNNNNNNNNNNNNNNNNNNNNNNNNNNNNNNNNNNNNNNNNNNNNNNNNNNNNNNNNNNNNNNNNNNNNNNNNNNNNNNNNNNNNNNNNNNNNNNNNNNNNNNNNNNNNNNNNNNNNNNNNNNNNNNNNNNNNNNNNNNNNNNNNNNNNNNNNNNNNNNNNNNNNNNNNNNNNNNNNNNNNNNNNNNNNNNNNNNNNNNNNNNNNNNNNNNNNNNNNNNNNNNNNNNNNNNNNNNNNNNNNNNNNNNNNNNNNNNNNNNNNNNNNNNNNNNNNNNNNNNNNNNNNNNNNNNNNNNNNNNNNNNNNNNNNNNNNNNNNNNNNNNNNNNNNNNNNNNNNNNNNNNNNNNNNNNNNNNNNNNNNNNNNNNNNNNNNNNNNNNNNNNNNNNNNNNNNNNNNNNNNNNNNNNNNNNNNNNNNNNNNNNNNNNNNNNNNNNNNNNNNNNNNNNNNNNNNNNNNNNNNNNNNNNNNNNNNNNNNNNNNNNNNNNNNNNNNNNNNNNNNNNNNNNNNNNNNNNNNNNNNNNNNNNNNNNNNNNNNNNNNNNNNNNNNNNNNNNNNNNNNNNNNNNNNNNNNNNNNNNNNNNNNNNNNNNNNNNNNNNNNNNNNNNNNNNNNNNNNNNNNNNNNNNNNNNNGAUGCACAGUGAUCUCAUAAUUGUAACAACUUUACAAUUCUCUUGCAAGGCUUUUAUGUUCCAUGGGCUUCUUCCAAUUAGUACUUAAUAACUCAUUUUUUUUGCACUAACAUGAAGGAAAACGUCUAUCACAUAUAGUUAUGCGUUUAAGUAUGCAUUAAAUGACAAUGUAUAUUCUUUGACCAAUCCAAUUGACUCAAGGGUAUAUACCAACAAAAUGAAUAAAUAAAAAGAGUUAAUUUUUAUGGUGUUGUGGUUAAAAAUUAUGAAGAUGGAAAACCUUUUGAAGAUGGUGCUGAUGAAAAAUAUUUUUUACUAUAUGAUCUAAACAAUAUAAAAUAUUUUUGGCAGUUUAUCUUUGAUUUGACAAUUUUAGACACAACACAAGAAGACAUGGAGUUAAUCAUAUUUGAGUUUAGUUUUAUCGUGUUUCUUGUCGUAAUCUUGUCAAAUAUAAUUAAAACGUUUAAACUCAUUUAAUUAAUUGUAUUAAUCAUGUUAUUAUGUCUAACCUUUAUAAGUGGACAUGUUUAUCAACCUACUUAAUUUAGUAGUAAGAAACUAUUUUAUUAGGAUAAUGGAUUUUAUGGAUUGUAUUUAUGUAGAAUUUCAUUAUAUUUGAUGAUAUUAUUAUCUUAUUAUAAUUUUUUAUGAUUAUUGAUUUUAAAUAUAAAUAAUAAAUUUAUAUUUAAAUUAUAGGUCUUUAAUUUAAUCGUAUAUUAAUCUUGUUACGUGUUAAAAAUUGAAUCGUAUUAAUUAUUUUAUAGUGUUUUUAAUUAUGUUGUGUCAUAUAAAACUUAAAACUCGACACGUUUAAUAAACGUGUUAACCGUACCGAGUCAUGUUAUAUGUUUAUUAUAUGUAUCUGUAUAUGUGUUUCAAAUCCUAACACUGAUUAGUUAAUCAUAUUGUAUUCAUAUUUACGCAAAAAAUUGUUAAUAUUCUAUAUUUACACAAUACAAUUAAAAUACAGAAAUAUGAAUUAUCAAGUCCAAUAUAUCUAAACAAAUUAUUUUUUAAUCAUGUCAUGACGUAUAAAACUUAAAACUUGACACGUUUAGUAAAUUUGCUAAUUAUGUCGAGUCAUAGUACACGAUUAUUAUACGUAUUCGUAUAUGUGUUUUAGAUACUAAUAACGAUUAGUUAAUCGUGUCGUAUUCGUAUUUACUUAUAAAAUUGUUAAUAUUCUACAAUAUAAUUAAGAUACAGAGACACGAAUUGUCAAAUCGAAUUUAUCUAAAAAAAUUAUUUUUCGAUUACCAAAUGAACUUUAAUUACUUGCCACAUGAAACUGACAUAUAUGCUAAGAAAAACCAAUCUAAUGAUUUAUAGAUUGUUAUUGAUAUGUGACUCAUGCUAAUAGUAAUUUUUGAGCAUUCAAACCAAGAGGAAGAAAUGAAGAUAGUGACAGAAGAUGAGGAGGGGGAAUUCAGAAAGGAAAUUAAACAAGAAGGGCAAAUUACCUUGUUAGAAAGAAAAGGCAUGAAGCGUUGUAUGCAUACAUGUUAAAAUCGUACCAUAUAGACUUGUCUGCAUAGACUCUUAACCUGAGCUAGUUAAGGGUCAUUGUAUAGCUUUUGGGAGUGAAGAGUGAAGACUACGCCAACUCUUUACUUUUCUUGAAUGACGUAUAAUUAAGGGUUCAAUGUGUGCCCUUAAAUGCUGACUGUAAAUAAAAAUGUAAUUAAGUAUUUAAUUCAAUGAUAGAUAUAUAAACAGUAAACACAGUAAAGAGAGAAAUGCACAGAGCCUAUUGGUGUAAGUAUGAGAUUAAUGCAUCAAAUUGAAAACGAAAAGCCAAGUAUAACAGCGUUUGCAUAGGAGUAGAAAAUGUCAACCACUGCCCGACCCCUCAAAAGUGAGUUGGAAUGAGGUUGAUGCUAAUAGUGUCCAAUACAACAUAUACUUUCAUUUAUAAAGUGUAAAAUAUAUAAAUACAACAUUUUCUUAAUAGAAAACAAGCACAAUUAUUUAUUUUGUGAUGAUGGAUGUUGAUGUAGAACAUUAUUUUACACAACCUGAAGAACAUAAAAAUGAGGAACAUAAGGAGAGUCCAAUGAUGAUCCAAACCUGUAAGUUGGCUGAGGGACAAGUGAGGGAGUUGAACUUAAAAAUCAGUUGUGGUUGAGGCUGAGGGACAUGAGAAGUGAACUACGUAUUGGAGAAGUGGGGACAUGAAAGUGUUAGAAUGGAAAGCAUGAAGGUCGUUGAAUCCUAUCCCAUUAGAGACGUUAGUAGGAUUUGCAUAUUUUUCUUGAAUUCUCAUUUGAUGUUACUUGGAUAAUGUUCAAGCAAGAACAUGAGUGCAAGGGAUGUCAUUAUGCAAGAAUAUAUAUAAACUUUACUUUUAUCAAUUGAUUGAAGUAAUUUUUUAAGUAAGGAAAUAUAUGCACUUAAUUAUAUUGAGCCAAAUACUCAAUAUGCAAUUUUUUUUCAAUCUAGACACUAUGUUCUUAUUUUGACAAUCUGUUAAAGUGGACUUUGAGACAAAGAGAUGAUAAUUGAAGUAAGCAUUUAAUUUUCGUUCCUUUUUAUUAACAAAAAAUUAAAGUAAACUUCAUAUUUUAGUUAUAUAAUUUUUUAAAAAAUUAAAAAAUAAAAAUCAGAUAAUUUAACUGAAAUUCUCCCUAAAAGGCCCCUAUUUUUUGAAGUUUUUCAGUUUUACAUCUAAAAUUAAUCCAAAAUUUUAUGUUCAAUUUUCCUAGCAUAAAAACGCAGGCUCAAAAUCAUUUUCGUAUGUACUAUUUAACUCACAUGAGGUGAUAAAAAAAAUAAAAAAUUCAUUGAAGAAUUCAAGAUUGGAAUCUAUAUAAUUGGGUCAAGCCAGUGGGCCACCCGACCCAUGGAUAAGUCUAAUGCCCUGUUUAUAAAGAGGAAAAACAUGAAUCGUAUAGACCGUUGUGGUUCCUAUUUGAAGACACAUUCAAAUUCAAUCCCUUUCAUACAGUUGUUUCUCAAUAGAUUGGACGUAGUCUUCACUCAACAAAGUUAAUUAAUUGUCAUAUGAACCCUUAGCUCACGUUAAUCCCUUUUCUUACGUAUGAAAAAAUAUAUAUAUAUAUAUAUAUAGAUAUAUAUGUAAUUUUUGAAUAAUUAAUUCAACAAUAAGGAUCAAAUCUAUACUUCAACCCUUUUAUCCUUAUUCUUUCCGUGCAUAACAAAAAAUUAUUAAAGAGACCAUUUUUAUUAUGCCAUCCAUAAAUUUGAUAAAAUCUAACACAAAAUAUGGAUUCAUGCAUGCUCACACGACAACUUUUGAUUACUUAUUGCAUCAAGCUGAAAUAUGAGAUUAGAAGAACCUAUCUAAAAAUUUAAUUUAAUGAUGCUUAUUGAUGUAUGACUGAUGCUCAUGUAAUUUUUAAGCAUUGAAAUCAAGAGGAAGAAAUGAAAAGGGAAAUAGUGACAGAAGAUGAAGAGAGGCAAUUCAUAAAGGAAUAUCAAACAAGAUGGGCAAAUGCCGUGUUACAAAGGAAAGGCUUGAAGCGCCUUGACUGUUGUCUGCAUGCAUGUUAAAAUCAUACCAUAAAUACUUUUGUCUCCAUUGACCCUUAACAACUUGAGCAAAGGGUCAUUGUAUAGCUUUCGAGAGUGAAGACUACGCCCAGUCUUUUGAGAAAAAAAAAAACUGUCCUUGAAUGACUUUUAAAUAGGUGAUUCAAUGUGUGCCCUCAAAUGUAUUUAAGUAUUUAAUUUAAUAAUAAUUAUAUAAACAAGAAACGCAGUAAAGAGAGAAAUGCACAAAGCCUAGUGGUGUAAGUAUGAGAUUACUGCAUCAACUUGAAAAUGGAAAGCCAAGUAUAACAGUGUUUGUAUAGGAGUAGAAAAUGUCAACCCCUGCCCGACCCAUCAAAAAUGAGUUAGAAUAAGGUUGAUGCUAAUACAGUACCCAAUAAUUUAAUAAUUUAAUAAUUUAAUUGUUUUGAAAACAUGAGUUAUUGAAAUAUUAUUGAAUGAUUUAUAUAAACAUAUUAAAAUCAAUGCUUGAUGCAGUAUACGUACCCAUACUUAUUAACAUUCCAUAACUGGUAACAUACAGGGGCAACCCAAUAAGCUCAAAAGUUUAAAGCGAAAUAUUCAAAUGGGGCUUUUGUUAAUUGAAAUUAAAAAAAUUAUUAAAAUUUUAUUCUUCUAGCUUUUUUGAGAUGCAAAAUUUUUAAUUAAACUUUUAUAAUGAAAUUUUUUUAAUAUUUUUUUUUCAAUUAAUAAUAUAACCAAUCCAUUUAAUCUUUCUUGAGAUAUUAUUGAUCUUAAAUAAGAUUUUAUUAAUUUUAGUUUUGAAAAACUUUUUUCUCCUGAAGCAACACUUACUGAAAUUGUUAACAUUAUUCUAAAAGCAAUAUAUACAUUUAGAAAAGAAUCGAGUCUUCUUAUAUGAUUAAGUAUGUCAAUUAGAUUGUUUUCUUCCUGUAUAAUUUCUUUUAAAAUUUUUAAUUCUGAAAAUAAAUCUAAACUAUCAAUAUCAUAAUAGUUAUUAUAUUUUAAGGAACAUUCAAGAUUAAGGCAAUAUUAUUUCAAACUAUUAUCAUAUAAUGAUUUCAACUUUUUACCUCUAUAUAGAAAACAAAAAAAAUUGGUUUUAUAUAUAGAAAAAAAAUAACUGUUGAAAAUAAUUAAAUGAGUUGAUUGAAAAUAAGAGAAAUAAGUAAGAAAAAAUUAAUUGUUGGAGAUGAUUAAAUACAUAUGACCGUUAGUUGAUUGAAAAUAAGAAAAUAAGAAAAUAUAAUUGAGAAUUAAUAGCAUUUUAGAAAUAAGGAAGUGAUAGAAAAUUAAAAUUUAUUAGGCACAUAAUUAGAAAAAUGAGAGAACAAAUCAUUUUAUUAAUUAUUUUUACUUUUAUAUAUUUUAAUUUUUAUAUAUUUUUAAUUUAUUAAUUUCUAAUAUAUAUAUAUAUAUAAAAUCAUAAAUUUUUUAAAAAAUUGAGACCCCCUAAAUUGGGGGCCUAAAGCCCUUGCUUGGGUGGCUUCACCCAAAGGCCAGCCUUGGUAACAUAUCCAAAAUAUACAUAAAUCUAAUGCUUUACUUCUCCAUUACAUAAACAAGCAAGGUUCUUGCCAUGUUCCAGAACAACUAUUACACAUUUAAUCAAAGACUCACCUAAAUAUCAGACCCAUCAAAAGGAGUAAUUACAUCAGGUAUGACAACACAGUUUUCCUUUGAGCCUAUAUCUUGUGUCACAUUUUUCUUAACUUUAUGAUGCAAUCCUAGAUAUUAAACAAAUGAGUUCAUUUUCAACCGUGAUUUAAUUCUAACUGAUAUCAACCUAAUAACUUUAGAUCCAACUCAUGUUAACAUAAGAAGACUUCAUUCGACUCAUCAGUUAAAAAGGCACAUUCAAUACAAAACACACCAAUUUUGUUCAUUUCACUUUGCACUUUCUACAAUUGUAUCAUUCAUUGAAGAUAAAAUUAAAAAACUAAACACAUAAAUAAAUCCAACAAUAUUCAAUAAAUUGAAAUUCAUCAAGCUACAAUUUUUAUUGUUGCUUCUACUACUUGCUUCUAGAAGCUAAACACGCAAAAAGCAAUAAUUUUUUGAAGAAUUAAAACUAAAAAUGUAACUUAUUUAGAUAAGGAAAUGCAUAAUUAUACUUUUUGUAGACACCCAUUGAAAAUUAACCAAAAAAAAUAAAAAAUAAUAUAAUAUAAUAAAAAAAAAAGGGCUGAAGCACGCUGUAGUACCCUGUAUUUUGAUAUGGUGGCUAAUAAAGUUUACAGAUGCCAAUUGAGGUUGAUUACUAAGUUAAAAGGGUAAUUCAGAAGUGAACCUGUGAAAUCUCGACCUCUAUAAACUUAACUAGAAGUAGACGCGAUAAUGAGGACCAGGGGUAAUUUCGUAAUUUCUGUUGGUAGGCUCCUAUGAGUGGGUUUUUUUUAUGCUAUUAAGGUCUACAUAGGCCUAAGGAAUGAAUAAAUUAUGUUUAUGAUGGUAAAUAAAUGAGGAAAAUAAAAAUAAUCAUAAUUUCCACGGUAGGGGCAAAAUGGUCAUUUUGCACAUCGACUCAAAAUUUUAAGUUUUCUUAAACCCGAGUAGUUUAGAUCAUUAUGGACCUUGUCCCAGUGUCAAAAGAAUAAAAAUAUUGCACAAAGGAUAGGAAGAAGACAAAAUGACCUUGUUAAAGGCAUUUUGGUAAUUACAUGAUAAAAUGGAUAAACAUAAGGCAUAAAUAUCUAAGUUUCUAGCAAGUUCUUCAAAUUUCCAACAACUUUUUCUUCUUCUUCUUCCUUUCUCAUGUUUUCUUACCUUCCAUGGGAGCUUGCUUUGAAAUCUCCAUAGAUUUUCUCACGUUAACCCUAAUUUUCAUGCUUUUGUGCACCUUUUCGCAAAGUCCUUUGUGCUCUCUUACUCUUUUACCUUAAAACCCUCAAAAGCCUUUCCUUAAUACUUUCUCUCACUAGUUGGACAUUUUAGAGAGAGAAAGAGAGAGAUUUUUCAUAAGAAUUCAAAAGCUUUUGAAAAGGAAUUCAAUUACAAAGCUACCAAGGUGAGUAAUGAAACUAAGUUGAUUUUUUUUUUAGUUGUUGAGAAUGGCUAGUGGAUAGAAUUGUGAGUGUUUUGUAGUUGAUGUGGUCUAUUCAUUUUAGUGUGACUAGAAUGGUGAAAAUAGAUAGUCACUUACUGGUAGUUGGAAGCUAGCUAGGAAUAACUAGUAGAACAUAAUUUAGGAGAUAGCUUUUAGAAAUAUGGUUAUGUGGAUUGAGUUGAUUUGUGAUGCUAUUGUGUGUGUAUAGGUUCCAACAAGGCCUCACAUGUCCAUUUGGAGUGUUAGUUGAGGUUAGAGUCAAGCAAAAGAAACAACAAGACCGGUGAGUGAACUUGCAUUUCAAAGUAUUUUUGGGAAUGUGAAUGUGUUUGCACAAGACAUUAAAUGAUUUUAUCAAACUUUUCUUUAAAAUGGGUGCCUUGGGAACAAGCCCUUGAUAAUUAUCUUUGUGUUGUGAUAUGUGGCUAUUAUGGAUUCAUAUACUGCUAUAUUAUGUUGAUAUAUAUAUACACGUAUGAAUAUAUUAUUGUGUAAUGAUAUUGACUCGGCUAUGUGCGAGUAGGGAGUGCGCAUAAGCCGAUGAUGACACGGUGAUAUGCGAGUAGGGAGUACGCAUAACCCGGUGAUGACCCAGCCAUGUGCGAGUAGGGAGUGUGCAUGAGCUGAUAAUGAUGGGAUGGUGUGCAUGAUGAUGUUGGGUAUAUAUAAAUAUACAUAUGUAAAUAUGUGUGUUAUAGGAAGUUUAUGAGUAAAGGUAUAUGGUUUUGCAUAUGUGAAUCUUGCAUGUUGAACUUUGAAAGUUGUUGAGUAUUGUCAAAUUGGUGUUCAUUGCAACAAGGAAUUUGGCUGUAGUGAAAUGGAUUCUCGUUGCCGCUAAAAAUUCUCAGUGGUGGUGCAGUGCUGUCAUUUUGACAGCAAUUUUGACCACCUUUUGAUCAGAACUGGGCAAAGUGGUAAACACUAAAGUCGUAGCCCUACCUCUUAGCUUUCUAAUGACCUAACAAGCAUGUCAAUUGGACCUAUGUAGUGGAAGAUAUGCUUUAAAAACUGAACCAUAUGCAAACUAAGAAUGCCUUUUACUGCAGUGAGAAACGUGCUGUCACGUUGUUACCUUGCUCGGGUUCUGAUAUAAUUUCCUUCACUCUCUUAUCUUCAUGAUUGAGCAUGGGUCUUUGCAAUACUAAAAUUCCACUGAUCAAUGUCCAAAACAAGGGGAUUUAAGAAAGAAAUUAAACCAAAUUGCAUUGUUUUCAAAACAAGUGCAUCAUGAUUUCCAAAUUCUUCCUAUUGAUUGCUUGUUCUCUUAUUAUGUUCACUCACUAAGCUUUAUGCUCACAUUUUUAAAAUUCAUGUUUUCAAAUUUGGAGGUAGUUGGAACCUAGUUUGAGUUGCACACAUAUGUUUGUCUUCUUGGUAAGUACUAUGGCAUCUCAGUAGCUGCACCUUCACUAUGGUCACUCCGCUGGAAGUCUAGAGUCCUUUUCGUUGAACAUAUAUACCUUGAUGUAAAUUGUUAAGAUAUAUAUAUCUUAAGCACUAGACGUUUAUGUUGAUUAAUGUUGCCACUACGAGAUGGCACGAAUGACAUUAUUUGAAUCAUAAAUGUGAACAUAUGGUUUUGAUGGAAAAGUAUUGAAAUACUUGUUGAUAAAAAUUAUGGAAUACGGUUGUAAGAACGAGUGAUAAAAUCGAUGAAUAGAGUCACAUAAAUAGGCUUGCUUAGGCUUAGUGGGCUAUGCCCAUUGGGCCCAUGCGCCAGUCAUGGCUCUAAAAUUUGGGCUGUGACACACGCUUGGUCUCCGUUUUCAACAAAAUACAGAGCAUUAAAUGCUCAUCCGGCGGUCGAGAUUUGAAGAUCAUUUCCAGCGGAUUUGCUGUUGACUUGAAGGCCACCCAUCCGAGAUUCAUGUUGAAUGGAGCAUGAUUACCUCCUUUGGUUGUCCAAAAAUUUGGACAACCAAGUUCUAUAAGAACCCUAAAAUUCUGAGGCUGGAGAAAUCUUGAAGGCUAGAAAACGUAGCAAAAAAAAAAUCAGAGAGAAAACGAUCCAAAAAACCCAAUUUUUCAAAACAAAAAAAAAAACACAAAAACCACCACAAAUCCUAAACCUCUAGCAGUUGGAACCACAACCCACAACAAUACAAAAAAUCAAAAAUCAAAAAAAUAAAUACAAAAAAACACAAAAAAAGAAAAAAAAAUGAGAGGGGUAGUGGGUAGUGAGGGAUUGGCGUUUUUGGGCUUUCUAGGGACAGUCUGGAUCUUUAGAGCGCCGACUAAAGGAGAGUGGAAGCCAAGAUUUUCCGGUUUGGUAUAUCGGUCAUCGGCAAAGGGGGUAAGAGGUCCGGUCUAGGCAGAGAAAGGGAGGUUUUGGGGUCUAGGUCCGUCGAUCUGUGGUGGUAGGGAGAGUAUAGGAGAGGGUGCAGCUGUCGGAGUAAAGGAAAAGAGGGAAUCUUUGGGUGCGGUACUAGUAGGAAAAGAGGAGGUUCUUGGGUGCGUCGCCGGUAAGAGAGGAAAGAGGGGUUACCGCCAGUCAGUUAGAUAGGCAAAAGAGGAAGGUUUUGAGUGAGGAAAGAGAGCUGGUGAAAGAGAAGAGGAAAAUAGUUAGAUAAAAAAGGAGAGUUGCUGCUGGAGCUCCAGAUUGGAGUGUUUUAGGAAGCACGGUGGGCUGAGGACACGGGCUUGGGUGCUUCCAAACAAAUCAAUUAUUUUGGGUUAUUGUCCAAGCCCAAACAAGGUAAGAUCUUUUCUUUUAUUGUUUACAUGGACAUAUUAACUGACCCAAUAUUGAGUUGGGAAGUAUUGGAAGUUGAAAAUAAUUUAUAAAUAGGAUGAUUUUUGCUAAAUAGAGUAUACAUAAAUAAAAAGUAAAUCUAUAAAUCAAAAUACCUUGUGAGGAUAUAUUUAGUUAAGGUAAGAAUAUAUAUAAUAAAUAGAUAAAUAUAAUAGAUAAAAAUUAGAUACAUGAUAAAAAUUAUAAAAAAAAUGAAAUGAUUAUUUUGAGUUAUCCAAUAAUAGAAUUUCACCUUAAAAAAAGGCAAAGAGUUGCCUCUUUAGGGUGGAUUUCUUGGGUGCGGAGUUCGAGAUGAAUUUUCACCGAAGCGUCGGGAUAAAUUCGGAUUCUAUACUCCAAAACCUAUUAACUCAAAUAAUCGUUGUUAAAAAAUAAUAUAUAUUAAAAAAUAAAUUUACAUAAAGUUCGAGACAAAUUCUCACCGAAGCAUCAGAAUGAAUCCGAAUUCUAUACUCUAAUACCCAUUAACUCAAAUAAUCAUUGUAAAAAAAUAAUAUACAUUAAAAAAUAUAUAUAUAAUAAUAAACAAUAGUAAAUAUAUGAACAAGGUAAUAAAUCAUCUUAAGCUAUUAAACAUAUAAUUGAAUGAAUUAUGAACCAACUAAACUAAUAAAUGCGUUCAUGUAGAUAUCAUCAUUUUAUCUUGUCAUAAGCAUGCCACAUCUAUCUUAUCAAUGGGGUGGGAAUUACGAUGAUGAGAUUUUCUCGGAGAACUCGUAGAGACGAGUUCUUCUCGAAGAUAUAUCUAGGUGAGAAAAACUUCGAGAUUUCACCAAAGCGUUGGGAUAGUCUAUGAAUGAUUUUUCAAUAAAAUAUUACUGACCCCAUCAUUUAAAAUUGAACAAGUCAUAACAUAAUUUUAUGAUUGCAUCAUGCGCACCCACGAAACCGAAUAAAAGACUCAAUCAGCUAAUAAGCAAAGAUUAAGGAAACAUAGGAAUAAAAUCAAUGUGGGCUACAAUAGGAUAACUUAAGAUUAAAUGGUACCGUUCGUGGAAUGGGAGCCACGGAGGUGCUAACUCUUCUCUGUGUAUAACCGCACUCUCGAACCCAUCUCUAAAAAUCGUAGAUUAGUUCUCGUUCUUUCGACGAAUAUAAAAUUAAUUUAAGAUUUCGUCUAUUAGAACCGAGUUACUAGGUGACCAAUCGCACCUAGAAAAGACGAUUUGUGGCAACUCCUAAUUAUUUUAUUUUCGCCUACGUCUAGCAGUCGGGUUCCUAGACCCGGCAUGUUACGACACUUUUAUAUGAAGUAAUUAACAUUAUAUUCCAGUCAAUGUUCAUUUAAUCAAUUACAUAAUUUUGCUAUAAAGCAACCUCCAAAGCAAAUAGCAAUAACAACCAAACCAAGAUGAAUCAAAAAAGACAUAAAAGAAAAGGAAAAAUUACCUGUCUAUGAAUCAAAUCACCACGCAAAGAGUAAACCAACACGAACCCUCAAGAGGUCCCAACUGCAAUCACUUUAAUCUCAUCGAAAAGUCUUCGCAGACGAUGCAGCCAACAUCCGUCAAAGUGAUGGUGGCUCUGCUUCGACAUUGGCACCAGGCUUUCGGCUCUUGUCUCUUGGCAACUGAGAUUACGGAUCGGAAAGGAAAGUUGGUGACUUAUUGUGGGGUCCAUGUGUAAAGUAGCAAACAAAAUUCAAAAAAUUAAUUAAAAAAAGAGUAAAAAAAGCAUUGGAACAUUUUUAUUUAGUCUUGCAUAUUACAACAUUUUCAAUACAAAUCCUAAAUUCAGAAAAAAAAUUCUUCAAAACUAGUCUUUUCCAUAUAAAACUUCAGAUAAAAGCUGCUGAACAUGAAACGCAAAUUAUCCACUAAGAACAUGUAGAAUUGUUCAAAUCACUGCCAUGGAAAAGCCAGAUGGUAGAGAAGCAGGGUGCAUUAGAUUCAGUACGAAGGCCACCCUGACAAGUAGAAAAAAAGAAAGGAAAAAUCAAUUGUAGAUUACAAAAGCAAUAAGAACUUUGUUGUAAUUCUACUUUGGCAAAAAAAACUCACCUAUGCAUGAUGUGGAUGUAGUGCUAGUUUCGUCUUCCUCUGUUUCUGCGAAUCCACUUAGUAACAAUGUUUUGCCAAUCUGUCUCAACCAUUCUGAUAACCACCAUGGUCUUCCUGUUGUGAACACAAUGUAUCCCAUGCUCAAUCCUAACACCACUCCACAUCCAUAGCCCAUCAUUACAACUUUCCAAAUAAAGGCUAUUUCAAAACCUUCAUCUUCCUUAGGCAUUGGUACCGGCAGUUUUGGCUCCUCAUCGUUGCCACAUUGCUUUGACAGUGGGAGGCCACACAAUCUCAAGUUUCUGCUAUAAGAAUCAUUCUCAAAAGUAUCAAAUUGCUUCCCAUGGGGAAUUGGUCCCACAAGAGCAUUUUGUGAAAGAUUUGACACUGCAAGGAAUGUCAGAUUCGUCAAUUGGGAAGGAAUUCUACCACCAAGCUUGUUUGACGAGAGAUCUAAUGAUUCAAGUGCAAUCGUGUUUCCGAAAGAUGGUGGGAUAGGACCAGUCAAGUUGUUGUUAGACAAGUUGAGUGCUUGGAGCGAAAUAAGUUCCCGAGUUCCUUAGGAAUUUGUCCACUGAAUAAAUUGUUCGAAAAGUCUAGGGAUGUAAAAAUGAUUAAGGUUUUCACCAACUCAAUCUCCAUUCUUUUUGUUGUUAUAUUUACAGCAGUUUGGUGAUAGUCAUAAGCAUACAUAAUUUGAGCAUUCGGAUUCUUGUACAAGAAUGACUCCGAAGAUCUGUCUUUAGGUACAUCUUUCAUUGCUCUCAAAUUGUGAAAGAAUUUUGCUGGCAAGGGGCCAAAGAGCUCAUUGUGUGAGAGAUCAAUUAUUUGCAAUGCAGAAAAGUUAGAAGAAGCUAUAGAAUUGGGCAUCGGACCAUGCAAUCUAUUGGAUCGCAAAAUAAGAACUCGCAACCUUGGCAGUGAACUUAACCAAUAGGGAAAGGUAUCAGUUAACUUGUUCCUUAAAUUCAAAACUUCUAAAGAACUACAAUUUGCCAAGGAUCGCGGUAGUAAUCCUUCCAAUUGGUUGUCAUUGAGGAGAAGAUUUCUUAACAAAUUAUUUGCAAAAGAAUCAGGGACUUUGCCAUAAAAAUUAUUCAUCUCCAAAUUCAUGAUCGUGAGAGCAUAGCUGAAAUUUCCAAGACAAUCUGGAAUAGUUCCAAUCGAGUUAUUUCUAGAUUAAUCAAGAACCAUAAGCGAACUCCAAUUGCAAAUCAAUUGAGGGAUAUUUUCGGUCAUUUUAUUCUUCGAAAUUAAGAAUACAACCAAAACUUGUGUUAGAUUUGGAUUUUGAAGAUUCAAGCACGUUGAGAGAAUCGGCCCUUGAAGCAUGUUGGACUGAAGGUCAAGAACUUGAAUAUUCUUUCCGGCUGGAAAUUGCUCCAAGGUGGUCAGAAAGUUGUAAGAAAGGUUCAACACACUCAAUCGUUCCCACCCUUCUGCUUCCCAUUUGGAAAUUCUACCAUGAAUCUUGUUAUUGGAAAGAUCUAAAAGCUCCAAAGUUGAUGUUCGAAAGAAACUUGGGAACUGUCUUAUGCUACAAGAAGAGAAUGACACUUUAACAAGUUGAGGGAAGGAAUAGUUAACAUCAUUGCCGCUUGUGCUUAAAGAUAGUAAACUAUUAUUUGAAAGAUGAAGAUCCGUACGAUUUUUGAGUUUUGCAAGCAUAUUUGACCUGAUGACACCACUCAAGUUGUUUGAGGAAAGAUCAAGCGUUUCAAGGCUCACAAGAUCAAAAAAGGAAUUUGGUAUUGAUCCAUGAAUGUCAUUAGAACUCAAAUCAAUAUAUUCAAGAGAAUUAGGCUUCUGAAUUUGGUCAAUUGGACCAGUGAGCUUGUUAUAGCUGAGAUCUAACCUUCUCAAAGAUAGCAAAGUAAACAGCCAAGAUGGUACUCCACCACUUAUAAGGUUAUUGUUAAUGCUAAUAUCUUCUAGCAAUUGAAGCUCACUAACAUGAUUUGGUAGGGAACCUUCUAAUCGAUUAUGUGACAAAUCCAGGUGGGUAAGUUCUGUGAGGUUGAACAUAGUUGUUGGAAGUUGACCACAAAAAUUGCAGAAAGAAAAUGACAAAAAAGUCAAUUUAUUAAGGUUUCCAAAAGUAUCAGGAAUCUGUCCUCCAAAAUCAUUUCUUGAAAAAUCUAGAAAGAUGAUUUGAGUGAGAUUUCCAAAUGAUGCGGGAAUUGACCCUCUAAAACGGCAAAAGGAAAGGUCCAACAACUUAAUGGCAUUACUCAAGUCUGUCUUAGGGAGAUAACCUGUGAGAUUUUGAUUCCAACCUAAAUCUAUGUGCUGGAGGUAUGGAAGGCUAAACACUUCACUUGAAAGUUCUCCAUCUAGUUGACAAUCAGUAAGACUCAAGCUUUCCAGAGAUGGAGUCAAGUUCAUAAAGGAAGGAAUUGCAGCAUCAGACAUAUCUACAGAGUCAAUGAUAAAGUUUCUUAAUUCAGUUAAGUUGCGUGCAAGCAUGUCAAAACCUUGACUAUCAAAUCUCAAGUUGAGAUAACCAUUCCUUGAAAGAUCGAGUGAAACCAAUUUUGACAGGAGACUGAUUUCAUAUGGGAUUAAGUCACAUAAUGAAUUAGAAGAGAGAUUAAGAUGGGUCAAACUCACAGAUUGAUGAAAUAACUCCGAAGAGAUAGAGCCAUUGAAAUUGUUGUGAGCAAGGUUGAGUCGUUAGAGUUCUUGAAGGUGGAAGAGGCUGCUGUUUUCAAGAAGAGAGCCAUGAAGGUUGUUGGAACUAAGAUCGAGCCAUUGAAGUCUUUGAAGGUGGAAGAGGCUGCUGUUCACAGGGAGAGUGCCGUUAAGGCAACUGUUACUAAGGUCGAUGCCAAUGACAUGACCCGUCCCCAUGUUGCAACUGACUCCAUCCCAUGAACAACAAUCCGUGCUUUCAUUCCAAGAAUUUGUCCUUGGGUAAUCAUCACAAUAAUCAUCCAGAGAAGUGGUGUUUUUGAAUUCAAGCAAGGCAGCUCUCUGUUCUUGGAGGCAGAAAUGAGCUGAAUGAAGAGAAGAGGAAGGGAAACUCAAUGAACAAUGGAGCUGGAAAUACAAGAGCGCUAAAAGCGGGCAAAGGAUUUGGAACAACAACCUAAAUACCCUUCCCAUAUUUUCUCGAGAAAAAGGAAAGUAUGAAACAAGGGUUGUCGGAAAGGGGCAAUGUUAGGGAGGUGAAGUUGAACAUGAGCUGCGGCUGAGGCCGAGGGACAUAAAAACACAAGUAGUGGACAUCUCUUUUUCAAGUCAAAUCAACAAAUCUUUUGAGUUGUUUUCCAUUAAUGCAUCUAAAGUCAAGUCUUCUCAAAUUUAUUGAUUGUGUUGAGAAAUUUGAACAGCACAAGUGUUAAUGCGUGGAAUCAAAACUACAUUAAUGGAAUAAAAGAAAAAGUGUUGGUCCCGUGUUAGAAUGAAAAGCAAGAAUCCUAUCCCAUUUUCUUAUUGGGAAAUGCUUAUCAGACCCGAAUUUCAUGAUCGAAAUCGAAGUGCAGUAAGAAAGUUUUUUUCCUUCUUGUUUACCAAGAAAAAAGCUCAAAAGUAAGAAAUUCAUGUCACAUGCAAGCUGUGUGCGUGACAGAAUUAAAAGAAAAGCUUCAAUAUCAUAUAAAGGGUAGGAUUUUGAAAUAGAUGGAAAAUUUUGUGAGCAUAUUUUUCUCAUCCUUCCGUCGCAUUUUCACAUUAAAAGUUAGAGUAGUAUUAUUUUUCCCAACAAAAAAUAAUUGACUAUUUUUAUUCAACUAUUUCAUAGGCAUCAUAUCACCUAUAAUUAUUGCUAUUAAAAUACUAUAAUAUUUAAUAUAAUACCAACUAAUUCAGAUCAAUUGAAGAAAAAAAAAUUAUAUAAAAUAAGACAUAAAUUUGUCUCCCAUGAAAAUUUCUCUUUUUUUUUUUUUAAUUUCCAAUUUAUGAUUUAUUCACUUAACAAACUAACCAAUAUAACAAUAUGAUAAGAAAUGAAUAAAUAAAUAAGGUUAAAUAUUAUUUAUUAGAAUAUUUUUAAUAUUGAAAAGAAAUGUUUUGAAUGCAUCACAUAAUUGAUAAAAUGUCUAUAUUUUUAUGGUGUUAUGUAUGCAAAGAAUUAUCAAAGAUGGAAAAACUUUUGAAGAUAUAUAUGCCAGUGACGACUACUUGGUUUAAACCUGAAAAUUUGUUGAACUAGUGCUUGGACUUGAGUGAUUGCAAAAUUCUUACAGAUUAGAUAAAUUUUAGUAAUAUUAAUAAUAGAAAUAUUUAAAAUAUAAUAAACAAAUAUAAUUAUUUAAGUAAAAUACUCUCACCUUUUAAGUUUUAAUCAAAAUUACAAACAGGUCCAUUAAUUUUUGAAAUGGACAUUUCACCCUAAAAGUGCGAACACCGUUAAUAGAGAUUAUGAAAAAACUUAAUUGCCCUUCCUUUUUUUUAUUAAUUUAAAAAUUAUUAUUAUGUUUUUUAUAAAAAAAAAAUAGCCCCAAGAAAGGGGAGCAUCGGCCAAGGGAGGGGAGUUUUGGUGCUCCCAGGAUGGGAGCCUUUUUUUAAUUAAUAAAAAAAUUAGAAAAACGUAAUAAAAUUAUAUAAUAGUAAUUUUUAAAAUUAAUAAAAUAUAAAAUUAUCUUUUUAAUAUUGUCACGUCAUCAAAUUGAUAAAAAUACUAAUGGCUAGACUUAUGUAUCCAGGGAAAAAUAUUUUUUUGGAACGGAGUGUCCGUUUUGAAAACUAAUGGACCUUCGUGUAACUUCGAUCAAAACUUAGAGGGUGAGGGUAUUUUACCCUAAUUAUUUUCAUGGAUAAAGAAGUUUUUCUAACAGUCUUACUUAUAUAUAAUUAUAUAUACCUACCGGCCAACUACAAAUUACUAAACUUAAGCAAUGUUAUUUGCUCAAAAUAAAAACAUUGCCUUGUAUGUGUGUAUAUAUACAUGCACACAUAGAUAUACAAACAUGUCCAUAUACAUACAUCUUACACACAUAAAUACAUCCAUUAGAAUAAGGUUAGAACUAAAUAUUGUCAUUCAUUGACAAAAAAGCAAGUCAUGUUUCUUUAUCAAAUUAAGCCAUUUAUUCCUACAACUUACAUUUAAUGGCACUUUAAUUUACGGUCACAAGGAAACAAAUAGAGAUGUGCAUUAUUGAAAUGUGGAUUAUUGCAGGCCUUUAUUUAUGUCAUUUUCCAAUCUACUUUAAGUCUUUCCUAAGUCCUUUAAAAUUCUAUAAAUUUCAUAUGUGGAAGAUGAGAUUUUUGUCUUAAUUGGCAUAUAAACACUGAAUUUUAAUAAUCUUGUAAUACAAUCUAAUGAAAAAUACUAGAAAAUAUGAGUUUUUUUUAAUAAGAAAAUAUGAUUUUUUCUUGAUCAUAUAUUCCUAAAAAAUUAUUAACUGCCAAAAAAAAAGCAUAUUGAAAGAAUGAAAUUUGAAAAGCAAAAAAAUAAAAAUAAAAAUAAGCAUUAUAGGCUCAAUAUAUUUGUUAUCCUUAAUAAAGGCUUAAGGGUAAUAAAAUAAAGAAGAGAGGGUAGAUUUAAAAUUUAUUUUGAUACACAUCUUCAAUGAAAUUUUUAAAAUCUAAAAACAGAAUUAGAAAAUUAUCAUGUAUCCCAUUUAAAUAUAUUAAAUUAAUUAAUAAAUAAAUAAAAACAUAUGAAAAUAUUCUAACUUUUUUCUUGUUAAAUUUAAGAACUCAAUAGGCGAUUGUAUAAAAUCCAAAAGAUAGCCAUUGUUUACAUUUUCAUGCUUUAAGCACGGUUAGUCUUCGGCAAAAUUUCCCAGCAAUUACUGAUUCAUUGAUAUUAUGACUUGUGCAUCAUCAAGACCUAUGUGAUCUCCUCAUGAAAAUCCUUACAAUUGAUAUUAUAGCAGCAUAACUAGCAUAGAAAUACAAAUGGGAGUACCAGGCGUUCAGGAGAAAAGGUACAAACUCAGGGAUUGAAUGAAGAAUGCUUCAAGAAAUUUGGUUUUUCCUGAGAAUGGAUUUUAUCAAAGUGUUCAGAUAGAUUUUCUCAUUCAUUAUAUUUCAAUUCUUUGUCAAAAUGUAACAUCAGCAUCAGUCUUAACAACAAGUACUAAUUAAACACUUAAGUUCUGCUUAAAAAAAACAACAGUAAAUAAUUUUAUCAUUCAUAACAAGGUUGUUAAAUGCCUUUUGAUUAAGUUUGAAGUUACUUUUUACGCAUUCAUACAUUUAAUUCAUUGAUUGCCAUAAUUAAAUUAAAAUUUUCUUUUUUUAAAUAAAAAAUGUAAAAUAGACAAAGUAGUGUUUUGCUAGAUAGAAAAACAUCAACCGUACUGUCUAGUUCACAUUUUAGAAAACCAUUUUUGUGGGAGGUGGGUGUGAAACUUGAACUGUUCUUUUCAAAAAAGCACAAGAUAUGAACUAGUAAUUACACAGCUUCUUAACGUUCCAUAACUGCUAUUCUAUUUUCUUUAUUCUUCUGGAUAUUCCAAAACGGAAUCUGUUGCUUGAAAUUACUGUUGAAGCACACUGUUACCGUAGGAUACCAGCUGAUGUAAAAAUUAGUCAGAAGUUGAUUUUGCAAUACUUUGCAAUUGCUCCUGCAUCAUAUCAUAGGUAACACCACCUUGAUUCGUGUCUCGUUCCAACUACAAUAGUAAGUACCUUAUUGCUUCAUGUGAAAGAGAGAAACUUUUGAAGAAAACACGAUACAAAUCAUUUUUAGUCAUCGUGAUUCUGCUCUUUUAACUUUUCAAGUCUUUUGUUUAGCACAAUAUCUUUUAAGCAAUAUUAAGCCAAAUCUUUUUUAAGUAUUGUUAUUGGCAAAGAAGUUAAACAAGUUUUUAACCGUCAUAAUUGAAAGGUCGAUGGGAUAUUUUAACAAUUAAAACUUGAGAUAUAUGAAAGGUCUAUUAUUUUUCAAUAGAUUUAUCAUCAUCUUUUACAUGAAUAAUAUUCGAUUAUGAAUUAUGAAUAGUUAAAGUAUCCAAAUAGUCUCUGUACCUAUGUAUUUUUGUCAAUUUAGUCUAUUUUACUUAAAAUCGAAGUAAUUUAGUCUUUUGAUUUUAGGAAUUGAAGCAAUUUAAUUCCUUUUUUAAUGGUGUCUAAUUUUACCGUUACAAUGAUGACAUCAACACUGACGUAAUACCGACAUGAUGACUUGGUAUGGCAGAUUAAGAAAAAAAAUUUCGAAAAAAAUCUGUGCAGCGUCAUUUCGAUUAAAAUAAACAAAAAAUAUAUAAUAAAGAGAUUAAAUUGAACAAAAUUAAGGUGUUUAGAGACUAAAUUAAAAAAAAUAUUUGAAAAAUACAAAUUUUUGUAUAGAUGAUACCUUAUUAAUAAGUCAAAUAUUUAAAUGUAAAAGAUUAUAGUGUUAAUAAAUAUAUAUAAAUAUUUUCUUACUUUUUUAAUUGAUUGAAUAAUAAAUAUAUUAAUUUAUCUUCUUUGCAAAAAUUAAAUUUGAAUUCCUUUUCUAUAAAAAAAAUUUUCAAUAUUUGCAAAAAAAUUCAUAUCUAAAGUCAUAUUUAGAUGAAUAACUAACAUUAUGUUAAAACAAAAUAAUAUAAAAAACUAAAAAAAAUCAUGUCAUUAUGUCGACGUCACAUGGCAUGACAGGUCAAUGUUGACAUUAUCACCAUAGCAGUAAAAUUGAACAUCGUUAGGAACGAACUCAAUCGCUCAAAUUCUUAAAAUCAAUGAAUUAAAUUGCUUCGAUUUUUAAUAUAGUAACUAAAUUAAUAAAAAUGCAUGGGUACAGAAACUAUUUUAAUACUUUGACCAAUUAUGAAUCUUGCAUAUGUAUGAGUUGAGAUCUAUGAACAUUAAUGGACCAAAUAAUUAAUUAAAUUUUUUUUAGUUCUUUCAUCAUUAUUUAUUUUGAAUAGUGGUUCUUUUAUAAUUAGUAAUAUUUACUGUCACAUGUACUGUCCGUAAAUACUUAUUUUCAAAUUUAUUUUUAAAUAAUAAUUAUAUGUAAAAUAAAAAUAUUUCUAAAAUAUAAAUUUAAUUAUCUAUAAUAAAAGAUAAUUAACGUUUUAUUUACAUAUAAUUGAUAUUUUUAAUAUUAACCAUUAAAGUAUUCAAAACUGUUAAGAUUAAUCAAAAUAUUUUUCAAUGAAAAUCUUACUUUAACAAAUGGGAUAAAAAUUAUUAUAUUUAUAAUAAAAAAUAAUUUUAAUCCAAGUUAUUCGAUGUGAUUAAAUUCUUCAAGAUUAGAUAAAUCUCAGUAAUAUUAAUAAUAAAAAUAUUUAAAAAAUAAAUUUAAAAUAUAAUAAACAAACAAGAUUAAGUUUUUCUAACAUUCAUUCUUGUAUAUAAUUUUGCAUACCUACCAGCCAACAACAAAUUACACGACUUUAGCGAUGUUAUUGGCUCAAAAUUAAAUCAUUGCCUUGUAUGCAUGCAUAUAUACAUGCACUGAGACAUACAUACAUGUCUAUAUGCAUACAUCUUACACACAUAAAUUCAUCCAUUAGAGCAAGGUUAGACCUAAAAAUUAUCAUUCAUCGACAAAAAAAACAAGUCAAGUUUCUUUAUCAAAUUAAGCCAUUUUUUUCCAAUUUACUUACAUAAAGGAGGCAUGAUUAGUACCAUCAUUCUUUCUACAAACUUACAUUUCAUGGCACCUUAAUUUGCAGUCACAGAGGAAACAAACAGAGAUGGAGGCGAAGAAAUGAAAUAUGGAACAAAGAAUGAACUUUCUAUGCAAAAUUAUAUUCAAUUAAGAAAGCGAUUCAACACUGACAGUUGACCAGAGUCUCCGUUUAACAAAACAACUUCCAGAGGAACAUAAGGAGAGUCCAAUGAUGAUCCAAAUCGGGAAGUUGGCUGUAAUAAUCUGCAACCUUUAGCACACUGGAUGCUUAGGAGACGUGGUCUGGUUCACAUCUGCCAGACCUGUGCAUGAUGUGGUCAAGCAAACAUUGGCUGGAAUAUAACGCUAAACGUUUGCUCUACUAAAUGAAGUUCUAAGAGAUGCAUAAAGAAUACCAUCUAGGAAAGUAGUAUAGCUUCCACUCUCCAAUGACACAACUCAAUCUAGAACAGCAAAGCCAGAAAUCUGUCAAAUGUAUCUCUGAUAGAGAAAAAUUAGUUACAUUGAAACCACUCAUGAAAGGAUCAAUGAAGAUGUUUUCGUUAUGGAGUGAACAUAGUUUCGAGUAAUCUGUCAAUCUGUUUGCAUAAUUAUUUCCACACAAUUAGAGUAAUACAUCAAUUCAUUUCCACAAUUAUUUCACUAUAAUUCCGUACUAUUCAAUCCCAACUGGCUAUAGUAUAAGGGUCCACUGGUAUGUAGCCUAUGCACCCCAUAAGCAUCGAUGGCUAGAUGAUAUGGACCACUGCUAAAAGUUAAUGCAUUGUUAUCAUUGUGAUGAUAAAUGCUACUGACUAUUCCUGCUCUUACCAUCAUGGCCAUAAUAUAAAAAUAGAUUUUCAAAGUCCUAACAACAAGCACAACAAUCAAGAAAUAAUAAGAAACACUUUAAAGAAACAUGAACACACCUCAACAAUUCCUUUUCGACGUGCAUGAAUGGCUAAACAGAGGCAGUAGUCACUCUUUCCUGGUUCAUAGUAAGAGCAACCUGACCCUAUAGCCUCCUUAUUGACUAACAUUUCCAUGAAGAAGCAGCUUGCAUCACAAUAUCCCUGAAGAGUGUAUUAGGAAAACUGCUUACCGAAAACGAAAAAGGAGCUAUCGCUUUUCAAGAAAUUGAAAACCAUAGAUGCAGAAGAAACCUUCCAUAGUCGCACUACUACAAGUGUCUGAGUAUCUAAGAGCAAUAUACGACCAAGUGAAUCUGUAAUAGCAGCCAAAGUGCCACUGGGUGAUAAGGUGAGCUUUUCCCCUUUUCUUGGGUGAUCCUUCAAACAUGUCAAAGGAGAAGCUGGCAAAAGAUCAUGACAUCAAUAACAUAUUCAACAGGUUUUGGAAAAGCCUUAAUAAAGAGAACUAAGAAAGUGGCUAAGGUUUGUAUGCUAACUAAGCGUGUUAACAUUCAGAACACAUCAAAAGACACAAUGAACUUGUAACAUUCUUUGUGUCAGAAUAUGACAGAAACAGAAAAGUUCUUUCUUAAAUAAUUAAUACUCUCUCUAUCCACUCAAAUAUUUAAUUGCACAUCAGAACACGCUAAGAUGAACUCUUUUGGUCUAAGCCCAUAGUUGAACAGCAAAAAUAAGCAUUUGGCAAGGAAGACAAUAAAAAAUUAUAAAAAGGCUUACUAAAUACAAUAAUCACAGAAACAUGCAAGCAGAGGUUACAUGCUUAACAAUGAGAUUGUUGCCACAAAUCUUGUGAUAGUACCAAAGGAAAAAUGAGAACUAAAGAUCAGUUAAAUGAUCUCAGCAACAGCAAACACUCCUGACCAAUGUAAAUCAGCUUCAAUCACCUAAAAAUUUGAAUCUAAGAAAAUAUUUCUUUUAGAAUAAUUAUAAGUAUACAUGAAUUUUGAAACAACCACAUAUUUUUAGAGAUUCACACUACAUAAUUUGAGUACCAUGGAGAAGAUAAUAGCAGAACCAAAUGAGGAAUAAUAUACAAGUUUAACAAACUUCACCUCGAGCAAAUGAUUGAGGCUUCUCUUCUGACUUCCUCUUUGGCAUUUGUUCACUCCGCCAUAUCAUUUUAGAAAAAGAAGCAAUUGUGGAAAAUGUUGCAGGCACAACUUUUGACAAAAUAACUCCUAUCAAGGAACAGGUCCUAUCUUCUGAAAGUCUUCAACAUAAUCAAACAAAAGUUUAUCAAUAAAGCACCAAAAGAAAAGAAAAAAUGAAACUACAAAUGAAAGAAUCCCUUCUUUUAAUGAAAGAUAAAUCAUAUGAUAUUUCAAAAUGCGAAGAAACUAACCUGAAAGCUGAGAUCACAGCAUCAUCUCCAAUGGUGACUGCACAAUAGUAACGUUGACUUGACUGCGCAACAAUAAAAGCAGCAGAAUUCAAAUACCAGAAUAACUUCAGAAAACUUCCAUAAUUCAUUGGCAAAACCAACAAAAGCAUAAAUAAAAUGUACUAUAAGGAGAAAAAUAUUGAACCAGUAAAACCAUUUUUUCAAACGCACAUUUUGAAGAUCAAAUGGCCAUUAAGUAAGAAUUGAAAAAUAAAUUAUUCAACUAUUAGCAUGAGCUAGUGAAGAUAAAGCAACAUUAGAAAUCACUUGGAGUUCCAUUAGAAGGAGUGGCAUUAUGCCAGUGAUUGCUGCAUCAACACAUGUCCCAUACUUAUUAACAUUCCAUAACUGGUAAGGUAAUCUCCCAUAAGAGUUUCCUAUAUCCUCUGAAUCUUUCUUUGGUUUCUGAUCCCAAAAAAGAGAAUGUGUUUCUUGAAACCACCUUUGAAGCAUACUCUACAUUACCAGAGGGGAGUCAUCUAAGUUAAUAAAUCUAAUGCUUUGCAGCUGCAUCAGAUAAACAGGUAAGGUUCUUGCCAUGUUCCUGAAUAAUUAUUACACAUUUAAGCAGGGAUUCACCUGAAUAUCAGAUCCAUCAAAACGAGCAAUUACACCAGGUAUGACAACACAGACCUCCUCUGAAGAUAUAUCUUGUGUUAGAUCUUUCUUAGUUCCACGGACUCUUAACUUUACGAUGCGUCCUGGAUAUACCAUCUAAAAUCAAAUAUUAAACAAAUGAGUUCACCAUUCCAACAUUGAUAUAUCUCUAACUGAUCUCAACCUGAUAGCUUUAGAUCUAAUUGAUGUUUUCACAAGACUUCAUCCCACUCAUCAGUUAAAGAACACAUAUAACCUAUAAGUGUACACGAAAAUCUACAAAACACACCAUUUAUGUUCAUUUCACUUUUUCUACAACUGUAUCAAGUUAAAAUGUUAAAUUGAAGAUAAAAUUAAAAAACUAAACACAUAAAUAAAUCCAGCAUUCAAUAAAUUGAAUGUAAAUUAUUUUCAUUGUGCUUCUACUGCAUGCUUCUGGAAGCAAAACGCAAAAAAGCAAUCAUUUUUGAAGAAUUAAAAAUAAAAAUGUAAAUAAUUACUUUUAUAUGAAGUAAUUAACAUUAUAUUCAUUUAAUCAAUUACAUAAUUUUGCUAUAAAGCAACCUUUCAAGCAAAUAGCAAUAACAACCAAACGAAGCUCAAAAAAGACAGAAACGAAAAAAGAAUAAUUACUUGUCUAUGAAUCAAAUCAGCUCGCAAAGUGUAAACCAUGAUAAACCCUCGAAAGGUCCCAACUGCAAUCGCUUUAAUCUCAUAGAAAACCAGCCACUCUACGGCCGUGAUGUGCUCGGCCUCUAUAGGUGACAGAUCGGGUCGGAUCUUGGCACGAAACUCAUCCGGGUCGGACCAUCCGAUGAUGAGAAUAAGAGAUCGGUUAGCGAUGGCGAGAGAAUGGGCGUCGAGAGCACAUAGAAGAGUGGUGCUGGCGUCAGGGGCUAGCCAUCCUUCCUUGGCAGCGCCGAACUCGGACAAGUCUUCGCCGGCGAUGCACCGAGAUCCGUCAAGUGAUGGUGGCUCCGCUUCGACAUUGGCAAUUGAGAUUACAUAUUGCAAUUUGGAAAGGAAAGAAUUUUGUAUGGGAAAGUAAAACACGAGACUUGUUGUGGAGUCCACGUGUAGAGUUGUGAAGAUAAUUAAGAAAAUUAAAUAAAAAAUCUAUAACAUACUUAAAAGGUUUAACCACGUGGAGGGCAUAGAAAAAAAAAGAAGAGAUAAAAAGAGAAAGAAAAAACCAGAUAGAGAGUGGUCCGUGUGCAACACACGGGCAAUAGUCUGAUUAAAAUUAAGAGUAAAGCAUUUUUAAUUAAAGUGUUUUAAAUUACAACAUUUUUGGAUACAAACUUCAAAUAAAAGCUGCUGCUCACAAAUUUAAAAAUGAUAAAAUGCUGCUGCUCACUAAGAACACCCAGAAGCUGCUGUUGCAUUAGAUUCAGUUCGAAAGCCACCCUGACAAGUAGAAAAAAGAAAAGGAACAAUCACCUCUGCACGAUCUGGUUGUAGUGCUAGUUUCUUCUUCUUCUGCUGCUUCUGCGAAUCCACUUUGUAACAGUGUUUUGCCAAUCUCUCUCAACCAUUCUGACAAACCACCAUGGUCUUCCUGUUGUGAAUACAAUGUAUCCUAUGCUCAAUCCUAACACCACUCCACAUCCAUAGCCCAUCAUUACAACUUUCCAAAUAAAGGCUAUUUCAGAACCUUCAUCUUCCUUACGCGUUGGUACCCGUGGUUUUGGUUCCUCAUUAUUGCCGCAUUGCUUUGACAGUGGGAAGCCACACAAUCCCAAGUUAUUGCUAUAAGAAUCGUUCUCAAAAGUACCAAAUUGAUUCCCAUGGGGAAUUGGUCCCACAAGAUCAUUUUGUGAAAGAUUUAACACUUCAAGGAAUGUCAGAUUCGUCAAUUGGGAAGGAAUUCUGCCACCAAGCUUGUUUGACGAGAGAUCUAACGAUUCAAGUGCCAUCAUAUUUCCGAAAGAUGGUGGGAUAGGACCAGUCAAGUUGUUGUUAGACAAGUUGAGCGUUUGGAGCGAAAUAAGUUCUCCGACUUCCUUAGGAAUUUGUCCACAAAAUAGAUUGCUCGAAAAGUCUAUGGAUGUAAAAAUGGUUAAGGUUUCUGCCAACUCCAUCUCCAUUUUUUUUGUUGUUACAUUCACAGAAGCUUUCUUAGAAUCAACCAUAGAAGAUGUGCAGUCGCGAUUAUAAACUGAACAUCGACUAUCCAGCAGUGGGCGUUGAUCACCAUAUUUCUCUAGAUCUUUCAUUGCUCUCAAAUUUUGGAAGAAUUUUGUUGGCAAGGGACCGGUGAGCACAUUAUGAGAGAGAUCAAUUAUUUGCAAUGCCGAGAAGUUAGAUGAAGCUAUGGAAUGGGGCAUGGGACCAUACAAUCUAUUCUUUCGCAAAAUAAGAACUUGUAGGUCAGGAAGUGAAGCUAACCAAUGGGGAAAGGUAUCAGCGAACUUGUUGUUCCUUAAAUUCAAAAUUCUCAGGGAACUACAAUUAGCCAAAGAUCGUGGCAGUAAUCCUUCCAAUUGGUUGUGAUUAAGGAAAAGAUAUCUCAACUGACCAUUUGUAAAAGAAUCAGGGACUUUGCCAUAAAAAUUAUUCAUCUCCAAAUUCGUGAACUCGAGACGAAAGCUGAAAUUUCCAAGAUAAUUUGGAAUGGUUCCAGUCAAGUAAUUUCUAGACAAGUCAAGAAACACAAGCGAACUUUGAUUGCUAAUUACAGGAUUUGAAAGAAUUGGCCCUUGAAGCAAGUUAGAUCGAAGGUCAAGAAUAUGUAGAUUCUUUCCUGGGAAUUGCUCCAAAGUGGUCAGAAAAUUGUAAGAAAGGUACAACUCCUGCAAGCUUUCCCACCCUUCUGCUUCCCAUUUGGAAAUUCCACCAUAAAUCUUAUUAUUGGAAAGAUCUAAAAUCUCCAAAUUUGAUGUUCGAAAGA
rnacentral:lncRNA from 1 species